GGUUUGAAGGAAAAAAAAGUCUGUAUUGAUUUAGCAAUGGCAAAAUGCCUUUUACAACUACUGUUUCUCUAUUACAGUGUCUCUCUCUUCCCUCUCUAAUUCUUCAUCAAUUAACACAGGGAUGGAAACUAACGAAAAGAACAAAGAAACAGAAGUUAAAUGGUUGAUAAACAACCCCCAUGACUCGGUCCAGUGCUAGCAGCGCUAGUCCCAGCUCAUAGCUGCAUAACUGAAGAAAAAUAUUGCCUGCCNNNNNNNNNNNUUCUAUCAUAUGCUUAUUUAUAAUCGAAAUAUGUUGCCUUCAUUCCCAUGUGACCUCACCCC
rnacentral:misc_RNA from 1 species